rnacentral:rRNA from 1 species
GAUGAACGCUGGCGGCGUGCUUAACACAUGCAAGUCGAACGGGAAACCUUUUAUUGAAGCUUCGGCAGAUUUAGCUGGUUUCUAGUGGCGGACGGGUGAGUAACGCGUGGGUAACCUGCCUUAUACAGGGGGAUAACAACCAGAAAUGGUUGCUAAUACCGCAUAAGCGCACAGGACCGCAUGGUCCGGUGUGAAAAACUCCGGUGGUAUAAGAUGGACCCGCGUUGGAUUAGCUAGUUGGCAGGGUAACGGCCUACCAAGGCGACGAUCCAUAGCCGGCCUGAGAGGGAGAACGGCCACAUUGGGAGUGAGGAACGGCCGAGACUCCUACGGGAGGCAGCAGUGGGGAAUAUUGCACAAUGGGGGAAAGCCUGAUGCAGCGACGCCGCGGGAAGGAAGAAGUAUGUCGGUAUGUAAACUGCUAUCAGCAGGGAAGAUAGUGACGGUACCUGACUAAGAAGCCCCGGCUAACUACGUG